rnacentral:lncRNA from 1 species
AGCAACUGUGCCCUUCCUGGUGCAGCAAGAUCUGCCUUCUGAGAUAUCCUUCUUUAGGGAUACCAGGGAAAAUGGCCACAGGGUGCCGGAAAGCCAGGGUAAUGGUGAGUGUUUUCUGUAUUUCCACACUGGCUGUGUCAGGAUAGACUCAUUUUCUUAUUCUGGCUGCCUUGUUGGUACCUGGCAGAGUCUAGCAUUAGUCUUGGAGUGAUUUACUUUACCUGAAGCCUGUUCCAUCUAUGAUUUAAGUCACUCACCAAGUGGCUAACCCUGAACAACGCACAGUUCUACAGGACAGGAGAGAGUCU